rnacentral:snRNA from 1 species
GGAUGUGAGGGCGAUCUGGCUGGGACAUCUGUCACUCCAUCAAUCACCAGGGUGGAUUCGGCUGAUCUGGCCGGCUGGGCGGGUGUCCCCUUCCUCCCUCACCGCUCCAUGUGCGUCCCUCCUAGGCUGCUCGAAGAGGAUGGCCUUCCCCAAAGAGACAGACCGGCCUUUGGUCGAGGGUACACGUAGCUGCGCUCCCCCGCUAGAACCUCCGAGCGAGCUCUCAAGGGCCUCACCAGUGCUGAAACAGCCGCUGCCUCCUUUA